rnacentral:rRNA from 1 species
UACAGAGACUGCAAGCGUUAUUCGGAUUCACUGGGCGUAAAGGGUGCGCAGGCGGCCGUGUGUGUUAGGUGUGAAAGCCCGAGGCUCAACCUCGGAAUUGCGUCUAAAACUACACGGCUAGAGUAUUGGAGAGGGUAGCGGAAUUCACGGUGUAGCGGUGAAAUGCGUAGAUAUCGUGAGGAACACCAGAGGCGAAGGCGACUACCUGGGCUAUUACUGACGCUCAGGCACGAAAGCGAGGGGAGCAAAAGGG